rnacentral:rRNA from 1 species
UACGGAGGGUGCGAGCGUUGUCCGGAAUCAUUGGGCGUAAAGGGCGCGUAGGUGGCCCGGUCAGUUCGUGGUGAAAGCGCGGGGCUCAACCCUGCGUCGGCCAUGAAUACUGCCGCGGCUGGAGCACUGUAGAGGCAGGCGGAAUUCCGGGUAGUAGCGGUGGAAUGCGUAGAGAUCCGGAAGAACACCGGUGGCGAAGGCGGCCUGCUGGGCAGUGCUGGACACUGAGGCGCGACAGCGUGGGGAGCGAACGAGGAU